rnacentral:rRNA from 1 species
AUUGAACGCUGGCGGCAUGCCUAACACAUGCAAGUCGAGCGGCAGCGCGAUAUGUAGCAAUACAUAUUGGCGGCGAGCGGCGGACGGGUGAGGAACACGUAGGAACCUACCCUCGAGUGGGGGAUAACCAAGGGAAACUUUGGCUAAUACCGCAUGAUUUCGAGAGAGCAAAGCUGCCGCAAGGUGGCGCUCGAGGAGGGGCCGGCGUCCGAUUAGCUAGUUGGUGAGGUAAGAGCUCACGAAGGCGAUGAUCGGUAACGGGUCUGAGAGGACGACCAGUCACACUGGGACUGAGACACGGCCCAGACUCCUACGGGAGGCAGCAGUGGGGAAUAUUGGACAAUGGGGGCAACCCUGAUCCAGCGAUGCCGCGUGAGUGAAGAAGGCCUUCGGGUCGUAAAGCUCUUUAGGUUGGGAAGAAGAGUGAUGGAGGAGAUGCUAUCACUUUGACGGUACCGACAGAAUAAGCACCGGCAAACUCUGUGCCAGCAGCCGCGGUAACAC